rnacentral:piRNA from 1 species
UAAACUAGAAAUGUGGCCACUCUCCCCGU